GAAAAAUGUGCCAUCCAGAUUAAGCAGAUGUUACAGUUGUGUCAUAUAUAGAUCUUCCACUCAAAUUACAGAAACAGAAACACAGCGAUCUCAGACAGAGACAGGCAGGCCGUGAAGGCCAGGGAACAGCGUACAACGGCAGCAUCACUUCAUGUACCUCUGCAGAAACUUACGGUGGAAAUCACUUCUGAUAGUGUCGUUGAUGAAACGUUUCGGUGUCUUGGUCUCUCCACGAGCCUGGUUCUUGAAUACAACAUCAUCAUCCCACCUUCUCUUA
rnacentral:misc_RNA from 1 species